UACGUAGGGCGCAAGCGUUUGUCCGGAAUUAUUGGGCGUAAAGAGCUCGUAGGCGGCUUGUCACGUCGAUUGUGAAAGCCCGAGGCUUAACCUCGGGUCUGCAGUCGAUACGGGCUAGCUAGAGUGUGGUAGGGGGAGAUCGGAAUUCCUGGUGUAGCGGUGGAAUGCGCAGAUAUCAGGAGGAACACCGAUGGCGAAGGCAGGUCUCUGGGCCACUACUGACGCUGAGAAGCGAAAGCAUGGGGGAGCGAACAGG
rnacentral:rRNA from 1 species